UAUGUCGUGUUAUCGACAUGUGAAUUCAUAGCAUGUCAGAUGGUAGACCCGGAGAACUGAAACAUCUUAGUACCCGGAGGAAGAGAAAGAAAAAUCGAUUCCCUGAGUAGCGGCGAGCGAAACGGGAAGAGCCCAAACCAAUGAGCUUGCUUGUUGGGGUUGUAGGACACUCUUUUAGAGUUAGAAAUGUAUCGCUUAGACGAAGCAUCUGGAAAGAUGCAUCAGAGAAGGUAAUAAUCCUGUAGUCGAAAAGCUAUACACUCUUGAGUGGAUCCUGAGUACGACGGAGCACGUGUAAUUCCGUCGGAAUCUAGGAGGACCAUCUCCUAAGGCUAAAUACUCUCUAGUGACCGAUAGUGAACCAGUACCGUGAGGGAAAGGUGAAAAGCACCCCGGAAGGGGAGUGAAAUAGAACUUGAAACCGUGUGCUUACAAGUAGUCAGAGCCCGUUAAUGGGUGAUGGCGUGCCUUUUGUAGAAUGAACCGGCGAGUUACGAUCUGAUGCAAGGUUAAGCAGCGAAUGUGGAGCCGUAGCGAAAGCGAGUCUGAAUAGGGCGCUGAGUAUUUGGUCGUAGACCCGAAACCAGGUGAUCUACCCAUGACCAGGUUGAAGUUCAGGUAACACUGAAUGGAGGACCGAACCGACUUACGUUGAAAAGUGAGCGGAUGAGUUGUGGGUAGCGGAGAAAUUCCAAUCGAACUUGGAGAUAGCUGGUUCUCUCCGAAAUAGCUUUAGGGCUAGCCUCAAGUGAUGAUUAUUGGAGGUAGAGCACUGUUUGGACGAGGGGCCCCUCUCGGGUUACCGAAUUCAGACAAACUCCGAAUGCCAAUCAAUUUAACUUGGGAGUCAGAACAUGGGUGAUAAGGUCCGUGUUCGAAAGGGAAACAGCCCAGACCACCAGCUAAGGUCCCAAAAUAUAUGUUAAGUGGAAAAGGAUGUGGCGUUGCCCAGACAACUAGGAUGUUGGCUUAGAAGCAGCCAUCAUUUAAAGAGUGCGUAAUAGCUCACUAGUCGAGUGACACUGCGCCGAAAAUGUACCGGGGCUAAACAUAUUACCGAAGCUGUGGAUUGUCCGUAGGACAGUGGUAGGAGAGCGUUCUAAGGGCGUUGAAGCAUGACCGUAAGGACGUGUGGAGCGCUUAGAAGUGAGAAUGCCGGUGUGAGUAGCGAAAGAUGGGUGAGAAUCCCAUCCACCGAUUGACUAAGGUUUCCAGAGGAAGGCUCGUCCGCUCUGGGUUAGUCGGGACCUAAGCCGAGGCCGACAGGCGUAGGCGAUGGAUAACAGGUUGAUAUUCCUGUACCACCUCAAUUCGUUUUAAGCGAUGGGGGGACGCAGUAGGAUAGACGAAGCGUGCUGUUGGAGUGCACGUCCAAGCAGUAAGGCCGAGUGGUAGGCAAAUCCGCCACUCAUCAAGCUGAGCUGUGAUGGGGAGAGGAAAUUGUUUCCUCGAGUCGUUGAUUUCACACUGCCGAGAAAAGCCUCUAGCUAGAAUAUAGGUGCCCGUACCGCAAACCGACACAGGUAGUCAAGAUGAGAAUUCUAAGGUGAGCGAGCGAACUCUCGUUAAGGAACUCGGCAAAAUGACCCCGUAACUUCGGGAGAAGGGGUGCUCUUUGGGGUUCACGCCCUGAAGAGCCGCAGUGAAUAGGCCCAAGCGACUGUUUAUCAAAAACACAGGUCUCUGCUAAACCGUAAGG
rnacentral:rRNA from 1 species